GGGUUCUACCGUUGGUCGGGCUAUCCAGUCUGUACUAGCGUGUAGAAUCCCUACCUUCUGGGGAACCAUCAUGUUAUUAAUUUAGCGUGGUGGGAAACCAGGACCUUUACCUUGAAAAAAUUAGAGUGUUCAAAGCAGGCUUACGUCUGAAUACAUUAGCAUGGAAUAAUAAAAUAGGACGGUGGUCCUGUUUUGUUGGUUUCUGAAUCACCGUA
rnacentral:rRNA from 1 species